rnacentral:rRNA from 1 species
CUGCUCAAUGAAUUUUUUUUAAAUAGCCGCAAUAUAAUGAUUGUGCAAAGGUAGCAUAAUAAAUUGAUUUUUUAUUGAAAUCUAGAAUGAAUGAUUUAAUGAGAUAAUUUCUGUCUUAAUUUAAUUAGAAUUUGAAUUUUUUUUUUUUGUAAAAAAACAAAAAUAUUAUUAAAAGACGAUAAGACCCUAUAGAAUUUAAUAAAUUAUUUAUAAAAAAUUAAUUUAUUUAUUUAUUUAUAAAAAAUUUUAUUUAAUUGGGGAAAUUUAAAAAUUUAUUGAAUUUUUUAAUUAAUGUUUUCAUUAAUAUAUGAAUUUAUUUUUUAAUAUUAUUUAAAUUAAAUAAAUUACCUUAGGGAUAACAGCGUAAUAUUAUUUAGAUAGAUCAUAUUGAUAAGUAAGAUUGCGACCUCGAUGUUGAAUUAAGAUAAAUUUUUGUUGAAGAAAAUAAAAUAUUUAGUCUGUUCGACU